UGGGGGAUAUUGCACAAUGGGCGAAAGCCUGAUGCAGCGACGCCGCGUGGGGGAUGAAGGCCUUCGGGUUGUAAACUUCUUUUGCUCUGAACAAGGCAUGCUAAUGGGUGUGUUGAGUGUAGGGGUUGAUUAGCGCCGGCUAACUACGUGCCAGCAGCCGCGGUAAUACGUAGGGCGCGAGCGUUGUCCGGAAUUAUUGGGCGUAAAGGGCUUGUAGGUGGCUGGUUGCGUCUGUCGUGAAAGCUCAUGGCUUAACUGUGGGUUUGCGGUGGGUACGGGCUGGCUUGAGUGCAGUAGGGGAGGCUGGAAUUCCUGGUGUAGCCGUGGAAUGCGCAGAUAUCAGGAGGAAUACCGGUGGCGAAGGCGGGUCUCUGGGCUGUUACUGACACUGAGGAGCGAAAGCAUGGGGAGCGAACAGG
rnacentral:rRNA from 1 species